UGGGGAAUUUUGGACAAUGGGGGAAACCCUGAUCCAGCGAUGCCGCGUGAAUGAUGAAGGUCGAAAGAUUGUAAAGUUCUUUUGUUGGGGAAGAUAAUGACGUUACCCAAAUAAUAAGCACCGGCUAACUCUGUGCCAGCAGCCGCGGUAAUACAGAGGGUGCGAGCGUUAUUCGGAAUUACUGGGCGUAAAGAGUGCGUAGGCGGAAUUGUAAGUCAAGUGUUAAAAAUUGGAGCUUAACUUCAAGAGUGCAUUUGAUACUGCUUUUCUAGAGUAUGGAAGAGGAAAAUAGAAUUUCUAGUGGAGGGGUGAAAUCCGUAGAUAUUAGAAAGAAUACCAAAGGCGAAGGCAAUUUUCUGGUACAUUACUGACGCUGAGGCACGAAAGUGUGGGUAGCAAA
rnacentral:rRNA from 1 species